rnacentral:rRNA from 1 species
CCUACGGGAGGCAGCAGUGAGGGAUAUUGCACAAUGGGCGCAAGCCUGAUCCAGCCAUGCCGCGUGAGUGAUGAAGGCCUUAGGGUUGUAAAGCUCUUUCGGCGGGGACGAUAAUGACGGUACCCGCAGAAGAAGUCUCGGCUAACUACGUGCCAGCAGCCGCGGUAAU